GUUCAGCUGUCAGAUUCGUUUUUACAUACGUGUUGUUUAAAGUUGAUAUUCACUUUUCUUUACGGUGUUUUCUGUUUAUAAUGGCAUGAUUUUUUCAGUUUUUGUGUACUUUUUCUUACGCCAGUCUUUUUUGCACGCAUUAAAAUUUGAUUAAAAAUGAACAGCGCGUAAGCGUUGGUGGAAUAAUCUUGGCCGGGGCUUGGCAACAUCAAAAAUUACCAAAACAAACCAAACAAAGCUAUGUUUAAAAAGAUUUGAGUACCAACUACUUAAAAAUAUACCUUUUUUUCAUUGAUUUGAUCAUCGGUUCAGGUGCAUAGAGCGUAAUCUAACACAGGCUUAAAAAAGUAAUAUUUCCGUUUGCAAAAAAAAACAAACAAACAAAUAAAUAAUCAAAAUGGGUGAAUGGAACCACGGAUUGUUCGGC